GAUGAAGAACGCAGCGAAAUGCGAUAAGUAAUGUGAAUUGCAGAAUUCAGUGAAUUAUCGAAUCUUUGAACGCACAUUGCGCCCCCUGGUAUUCCGGGGGGCAUGCCUGUUCGAGCGUCAUUUCACCACUCAAGCCUCGCUUGGUAUUGGGCAACGCGGUCCGCCGCGUGCCUCAAAUCGUCCGGCUGGGUCUUCUGUCCCCUAAGCGUUGUGGAAACUAUUCGCUAAAGGGUGUUCGGGAGGCUACGCCGUAAAACAACCCCAUUUCUAAGGUUGACCUCGGAUCAUGUAGGGAUACCCGCUGAACUUAAGCAUAUCAAUAAGCGGAGGA
rnacentral:misc_RNA from 1 species